UUGAAGCAGAACCAACUGCAAAAGCUAACUCUCGGAGAUUCCUCUUGAACAGAAGUUUCUGGACCCACAAAGACCACUCCCAAAAUUUUGGAAGAAAAGAAAUCUCUUCUUGAUUGACCAGUGCGCUUCCCCAUCGUAUUUCUCUAUUAUCAAUUAUCUCACAAAUCACAGCCCUUGGGAUGUACUCCAUGCUCUAGGAAUGAUGAGGCGGAAGGCACAAAAAGGGAAGAUGACCGCUAGAGCGAUUGGACUUGCCAGUAUCCAAACUCUCGUGACAAUCACUAAUGGUGGACAUAUGCAACUCUGACAAUAGCCCCUGAAGGUCGGGGAAAGGAUCUGUCGUUGGCUUAUGGACACUAACUUUUAGUUUACCUCGUACGCCGGUCUGGCAUGGUACUUCACAUCAGUAUCUUUGAAACGUAGAUAACUUUUACCUUGAUUUUUAAACUCAACAAUUUCGUGCAUGUCAGAAUACACUUUAUCAUCAGAACUUGUUCCAGCCAUGCCUGCAAAAAAAAAAAAAAAAAGUCAGCAAAAAAAAGGGAGGGCAAUAAAUCUCUCAAAUUGGUUUAUUGUUUAAAAUCCCGAGUCUCCCAAAUAUGUAAGCAGCCUCUAUAAAAAGUGUCUUUGACGAUGAAAGGAGCCAGUCAUUGGUCCUUAACACAAAGUGCCUUGGACGAUGGAAGGAACAGGUUCUUGGUCCUUAACACAAAGUGCCUUGGACGAUGGAAGGAACAGGUCCUUAGUUCUCAACACAAAGUGUCUUGAACAGUUUAAGGAGUCAGGUCCUUGGUUUUCAAUACGAAGUGUCUUGGAUGAUGGAAGGAACAGGUCCUUAGUCCUCAACACAAAGUGUCUUGGACAGUUGAAGGAGCCAGUCCUUGAUCCUUAACACAAAGUGCCUUGGACGAUGGAAGGAACGGGUCAUUGGUCCUUAACACAAAAUGCCUUGGACGAUGGAGGAACAGGUCCUUAGUCCUCAACACAAAAUGUCUUGAACAGUUGAAGAAGUCAGUCCUUGGUCCUUAACACAAAGUGUCUUGGAUGAUGGAAGGAGCAGGUCCAUGGUCCUCAACAAAAAGUGCAUUAACUGGUGAAAAGUGACAGUCCUUGGUCUUCAAUGGUAUGAAGGUUUGCAAUUUUAAGUUGGUUCAUAAUCAUAUAUUUUCUGAACUUAUAAAAUAAUUGAAAUAAUAAUAAUAAUAAUAAUAAUAAUUAACCUUUACAAGAAGAAAAUUUGGAACCUCAAAAUUCUUGAUUCGUUCCAAAAAGUUGAAUCCCUAAAAAAACGAAGAUUGUUAGUUUAAAUUUUCUUUAAAAAAAAAAGGAUCAAAAUAAAGGGGUAAUUAAUAAAUAAAUAAAAUACAUAAAGAAAAAAAAAAGAAAGAAAAGGAGAAAGAAACUAAAAAUAGAAGACAAAAAAGGGUUUCACAUCAGACAAGAAUAAAAAAAAUAAAAAAUUUAAAGGAUUUGGUUUCUGC
rnacentral:lncRNA from 1 species